UCCGCUGGUGGCAGCAGGCUUCCGAGGAGGAGCUGGACAGUGAGCUCCCGGCACAACCUCAGAAGCCAGCAGCCAGCUGACUCGCCCAGUCCGGGAGCAAGAACCCGGGAGGACUGGAGUGGCAGGGGACCCAGCACCGACCACAUCGCCCUGUCCCAAGCGCGGGACUCGGUGGAGCAGUCUAGGUUCGAACAGCACCUCCAAAGUGAGCUUCUUCCUGCUUCCCAUGGCCCCGUGCCCACUCCUUCCACGAAGGACCUACCGGCUCCCCUGCACCUCAGACCUGCUGGGCUGCCUUGCACACCAAACCAACCCACGCUCACAGAUCCAACCGGAGCAGGGUAGUAAGAAACUUCACUCCGAACUGGAGGUACGCGAACGAGUUUGGAACAGGCAUAGAAGGAACUCAGAAGGCGACUGGGAGAUCCUUGCUUGUGAGGUCACAAUGAAUUGGACUACAUUUCCCAUAAGUCUAUGCAACUGAGUUUCCGGUAGAGGCUGACUUGAAAUGUGCAAUUUCUGCCGCUAGAGGGACACAUGCCGCGAGUCAGGCUGCAUUAAAAUCCUCAGCUUCCAAACAAAGAUGGUUAGAUAUGAGUGGAGACCUUACAACAAUUACAGGUAUCUCACAUGGGAAAAAUCACUGCUACGGUUUUGAAAUGAAUCCUCAGCAGAGGCUUGGUGGGAGCCACCUAGUGUCUGCCUCUUAAGAGCAGAGGCCCAUGGAUCACAGCUCCAAGGCUAUGGUAAACAAACAGAAA